rnacentral:misc_RNA from 1 species
GUUGUCAUCGACUGGCUGGAUAACAGAGGUCUUGGGAGACUACGGUUAGAAGUUCGCUUCUCUCCGUCCCGCAAGGGGUUGGUCAAACUUGCCCAAUGUUGUUCAGCUGAAGAUGAUAAAAGUCGUAACAAGGUUACUGUAGGUGAACCUGCAGAAGGACA